rnacentral:rRNA from 1 species
CCUACGGGAGGCAGCAGUGGGGGAUAUUGCACAAUGGGGGAAACCCUGAUGCAGCGACGCCGCGUGGGUGAAGAAGUAUUUCGGUAUGUAAAGCCCUAUCAGCAGGGAAGAAAGAAGACUGUACCUGACUAAGAAGCCCCGGCUAACUACGUGCCAGCAGCCGCGGUAAUACGUAGGGGGCGAGCGUUAUCCGGAUUCACUGGGUGUAAAGGGAGCGUAGACGGCCGUGCAAGCCAGGAGUGAAAGCCCGGGGCCCAACCCCGGGACUGCUCUUGGAACUGUGCGGCUGGAGUGCGGGAGGGGCAGGCGGAAUUCCUGGUGUAGCGGUGAAAUGCGUAGAUAUCAGGAGGAACACCGGCGGCGAAGGCGGCCUGCUGGACCGCGACUGACGUUGAGGCUCGAAAGCGUGGGGAGCGAACAGGAUUAGAUACCCCAGUAGUC